rnacentral:lncRNA from 10 species
GGAAAGUGCAGGACACCGAGGGGACCUGUGUCUUGUGUUUCAGAUGUAUAGAAACUUGAUACCUCCCUGCAAGCUGAGGGAGCAGGCUCCGGCCUUGGCCAGCCCAGAAAGGGGAUCCCACAAUGCAGCGGUGGGCUGAAGUGUUCCUCAAGUGCCGCCAAAGUGGGAGCCCAGGCAGAGGAGGCGCCGAGAGCGAGUGAGGGCUGUGAGGACUGCCAGCACGCUGUCACCUCUCAACACUGCGGUGCUGAUAAUGACACUUCCUGAUAAUUAGGAAUGUGGAGCCAAGAUGGCCGAAUAGGAACAGCUCCGGUCUACAGCUCCCAGCGUGAGCGACGCAGAAGAUGGGUGAUUUCUGCAUUUCCAUCUGAGGUUUUUCCCAUGGUGUUCCCUUUCCAAUGUCUUUCUGGAAGUCACACAUUGACCACUAACAACAGGAGAGAGGACAAAGAAAGGCAGCAAAAGACUAUUUCCAAUGCGAAAUAUGAUCAGACGAUUCUUCUUCCAGUGUGCCCCAAGGAAGCCAAAAGAUUGGACACCCCUGGAAACUCAUCAGUCAGAGGAGAUGUGAGUGAGAGGCCUCAAGUGACCCUUUCUGGAAAUUCUUCCAUAUGAAAACAUGGGAGGAGGGAGGUUUCCUAUGUAGGAACCACAUGUGCAAAAAUGGCAAAAGAAAGAGAGGAGCAAGAGAUCCGCUUAUGAUAAUCCAACAAAACGAUAACUGGAACAGAAAAGAAAACGACGGCCAAUCAAACCCCUGAGUGACUCCACAUUGUCUUUAAUUCUCCUCUAAUCAAAGAGCAGCACACAGUUGUGAGAGGUGGUCCGAGCCGGGGAGAUUAUGCAGAGAGUGACUCCAUUCAGAGAAAUUUUGGCAUGAUUCCUAACCUCUUAGCCUGAGGGAGAAUUUCUUAAAUUUUAUUUGUGGUUCUCACCUGAGAGAAUUGAUGCCUUCAAGAGAGCACCAGACAGAGGCUAAACAGACAUGCAAUAAAAUUAUCCUCCUUGGAUGGGUCAGGAGCUGGCUGAUAACUUACUCUAAGCCUACAUCAAUCAGGGAGCAGCAGGGGCAUCCACAGUCAAGGAGAGCUGAAGGUGGCAGGGCGUACAGCCGCAGAUCAUCUUAAAUAAAGAUAUAGAAGGCAGACUCUCAUAAAAGAAACCAUAAAUGAAACAAUGAAUAACGACUUCUGUUUAUCAUUCUCUAUUGUUUGCAACUUUCACAAUAAGCGUGUAUUGUUUUCUUAAAUAAAUAGCAAACAAUAAACUCAUAUUGAUAUGGCAUCAAUUUUCACUGAAUACCCUAAGAGGAAGCCAUGUUUUUCCUGCGUUUUGUAAAGCUUACAGGUGGAUUUCUUUUUUCUUUUCUUAAAAAGAGUACAUUCGGA